AGGAGGCUAGUCCGACAUAUAACUAGUCUGAUAUAUACAUUGGCAGUUACUAUGUUUUAAAACACUUGACAGUGGGACGGAGAAAGGUCUGUGCGUCAGGGGUAUAAUCAUGGACUACCAGUGAUCGUGAAGACCGCCUGAUACAACAGGGGUUUCGCAAGGACAAAGCGUCUGUGCAUGGGUAUAUCUACCACUGAGGUUCCUGAAUACAGUCCGGAAGUGUGGGGAAUACCACUACUUAUUCAGAGGGAGACAGAUAAGUUUCCAAAGAACACUUUAGUCAUUUAAUAAUUAGUAGAAGACCAAAUCUGGAGCACUCGCAGCAGUGUAUUAAAGGAAUAGUGGAAACAUUCGGACAGUUUGGCAACAAUAGCUAGCUUAUAUUUCAUUAGAAUUUUUUUGAAUUAACCCGGGAUUAAAUGUGAAAAGAAUACAUGUAAAAGUUUAGCGGUUUCGAAUUUGAUUGUUAUUAUUUUUUUGUUGUAAAUAGUAAGGAAGAUAUUUUUGAGUGAAUCUGCGUGCGAUAGUGAGUGUGGGAGUUUCACUAAGUUAUUUAUAUCCCCCCCCCCCCCCUUAUUUCUUGUUAAAUAAAUUUCUUUAUAAUUUUGA